rfam:Gossypium arboreum cultivar AKA8401 contig_66501_1, whole genome shotgun sequence.
GGUUAAAAAUUUCAUCCAUUUCUAUUAUUAAAAGUUGGUGUAGUUGGUAGAAUAGCCAGACAGUUAUAUAUGAUGUGUCACGUGUACUUCAUGUCUAAUAUAAAUUGACUAAUUUUUAAUAAUAGAAAUGUAUGAAUUUUUUAACA